GGGACAGCCAAAGUGAAGACAAGAACCCUG
rnacentral:piRNA from 1 species